AAUUUUGUUUGUCAUGCUGGCGUAUCGGGUCGAAGGUAUAUAAAUGACAUUGUUAUAUAGUCUUGUGCAUACAUAACAUCCGUUUGCAGUGAGAAGUUUAACAGACCGAGUUGUCAUAACAUACAUACCCGAUGGAUAUGAAAAUUAUUGUUUGUUGUGUAUUGUUAGCAGUGUUUGUCGUAUCAACAUCAGCCUGGUGGGGCAAAAGAUGUCCCAAUAGAUGGUUUAAUAGGCUCCCACAUUGUGGGAGCAGUUCACUCCAACGAUGCGGAGAUAAAAAUAGAUGUGGUAGUGGAAAAAUGUGCUGCAAGGUAGGGUGGUGUCCAGGCCGAUAUUGUCGUACUCCUUACCAGCCCUUUAAUUACUACAAUUGGUUUCCAUUCUAUAUUAGAAGAAAGAACUUAGUACAUGCAAACAACCAAGUUGGUACAACUACUACUACUACUACCACUACUACUACUACUGCUAGAACUGUGGUUGAUGUUGAUGGUACGAAUCGUCAAACCACACCAUCCAUCCAAUCUGCUUCACAAUCCUUUCAAAUACCAGUAACAAUAACACGUUCAGGAGUCUGUGAUCGAGCACGCAGUAUAAGCUGUAGUGGACAGUGUACACAGGAUGGUGACUGUAGCACUUCCAGAAAAUGCUGUAGAAACCGGUGUGGAACAAGAAGUUGCGGACCAAUUUUACGUUCAUCGGUUUUCAUCAGUGGCAAAAAAUAAAUAUAACCUGAUUCCAUAAAA